GAGUUUGAUCUUGGCUCAGAUUGAACGCUGGCGGCAUGCCUUACACAUGCAAGUCGAACGGCAGCACGGGAGCUUGCUCCUGGUGGCGAGUGGCGAACGGGUGAGUAAUGCAUCGGAACGUAUCCUGGAGUGGGGGAUAACGUAGCGAAAGUUACGCUAAUACCGCAUAUUCUGUGAGCAGGAAAGCGGGGGACCUUCGGGCCUCGCGCUCUUGGAGCGGCCGAUGUCGGAUUAGCUAGUUGGUGAGGUAAAGGCUACACCAAGGCGACGAUCCGUAGCAGGUCUGAGAGGAUGAUCUGCCACACUGGAACUGAGACACGGUCCAGACUCCUACGGGAGGCAGCAGUGGGGAAUUUUGGACAAUGGGGCAACCCUGAUCCAGCCAUGCCGCGUGAGUGAAGAAGGCCU
rnacentral:rRNA from 1 species